GGUCACGUGAUGUGCUCCUGAGUUCUGUCAGUAGGGGGAGUGGGAGAACGCGUGUGUGUCGUCGUAUCUGUUCUGCUCAUCUAGCGCGUAUUUCUUUAUUAAUAUCUGCUGGGUGAAUAUUAAUACGUAUAUGCUAACAUUAAUUUUGUGACCACAAAAUGACAGCGAGCUAUUAUACAAGAUAUUGUGUCGUCGUGUUUGUCUUCACUCACUUCAUCAUUAUCUGGUAAGUGCUAUAUGCAAUAUCUGGUAUGAGACUUUAUUGGCACUAACGUUAAAGGGUUCUUUCGGCUAAAUUUUACUUAAUUUCUGUCAUAACAGCAAACAACUUCUGCAACUACACAAUGAUUGUCUGCCUGUGUGCAAAAUAAAGCACGUUCACUGUGUAAAACCCCGCGCAGGGCAUUUUCAAAUUAACGGUCAGGGCAAGUCUGAGCUUAUCGUGUUGUGUUGACAGAGACUUUGCUGAGUGUAUGUAAAUCUGGGCUACAGUCCACGACAAAUUUUCUACGGUAGUUUUACGCCUGCAUGCUGGUCCUUUCGUCUAUCGCGGGGAUAUCAUCACUUCAGCGGACAUCGCACUGAAGAGAUCCUGUGCUUGCGUGGCGGUGUGUUUGUGUGCUCACUUGGAUUGAGACCAGCAGUGCUUUUUUAAACAGUGGGUGAGUACUAACUUAUUAUUGUGUAGUUUCAUAAAAGCCUUACUCUUUUCAGUCACAUAACUUUUGUUCAUCUGCUAAUAAUAGGACUAUCCAUACACAAAGAUGUAUUGUGGAUUUAAGUAAUAUCUGCGAAUAUUUAUGUGAAAAUGUAUUAGUGUUCUGCUGACAUGAGAUCUGAAAAUGUGUUCUAGGACCUGAUAUGGAUUAAUCCAAUGAUCAACGUAUUCCUUUGUAUCCCUGUUUUGUAUACGCUGCCAUUACAUGAUGGUCAUAUGUCCCGGAUGAUCGGGAGAAGUCACGUGGUUCAAUUAUUAUUAUUUUUUUACGUGGUUCAAUUAUCUGUUAAUAAAAUUUUUUUACCAUGCAUUUAGCCUCAGGCAAAGCCUGCAAUCAAUCUAUUAAGACAGAAACAAUAUCUUACUUAUUAUUAUGUUGUUAUGACAAUAUCAUGUGAUCAUCUGAGUUAGAACAAAAUCUAUUCAUUUUCAGGUAUAACUGUGCAAGUGCCCUGAAUCAUUCUGUUGAAAUGUUAUGUGUUUAAGAUUCUUUAUGACAUCAAGAUGUGGUUUGGGAAGGACCUUCAUCUAAAUCUGAAGACAGGACAUACUGGCUCAAAAAGGUGUUUCUGAUAUGGAGAAAAACCCUGCACUGCUCAUUUUAUUUCUUCAUCUUGAGAAUACAGCAAGUUUACCUUUUGUCUGGAAAAUGAUUCAGCAAAGCUAACACCAACAACAAUUUUUCAUGGCACUUUAAACCACCUUGAUGUGAGGAGCCAGCAUCAGAAUGGAUGGUGUCAAUAUCCUGAAAGUGGAGGUAACAGAGGUGGAUCUCGAGACUUGGCCAUGUUCUAGAUUAUAACUGGAUUAUCACAAGUGCUGUCGCCCCUGCUGUAUAUGACGCCCCCACCACCUACACCAGGUGUAGGAAAUGUCGGUCCUGGAGUGCCGUUGUCCUGCAGAGUUUUGCUCCAGCUCUAAACAAACACACCUGAACAACUAGAUCUGAAGAGUCACCAGAAAACUACAGGUAGGCGAGGUUUUAUCAGGGUUGGAAAUGAAAUCUGCAGGAUUUCGGCACUCCAGGACCGACGUUGCCUACUACUGACCUACACCUUCAUCCUGCCACCACCACCCAUACUACCUACAAAAAACUGUAUUGUAAUUAUGCUUUUCACUGUAUUGUAUGAUGUGGUUUUCUCAUUUAGGGUAACUACACUAUGGCAACAAUUGGAUACAUUGAUUGCUGACUGAUUUUGUUAUUUUUUCUUUACUUUUUGUUUAAAAUCGAAUCAUUUUUUUGUUAUUUUUGUUAAUAUUGUUACAAAUAUACAGUUAAAACUGCACAAUAAAUUUUCUGCUUUUA